rnacentral:rRNA from 1 species
AUUGAACGCUGGCGGCAGGCCUAACACAUGCAAGUCGAACGAGUGGCGGACGGGUGAGUAAUGUCUGGGAAACUGCCUGAUGGAGGGGGAUAACUACUGGAAACGGUAGCUAAUACCGCAUACCAUCGGAUGUGCCCAGAUGGGAUUAGCUAGUAGGUGGGGUAACGGCUCACCUAGGCGACGAUCCCUAGCUGGUCUGAGUGGAUGACCAGCCACACUGGAACGUCGACUCGGGCCAGACCCCUACGUGAGGCAGCAGGGGGGAAUAUUGCACAAUGGUCGCAAGCCUGAUCCAGCCAUGCCGCGUGUAUGAAGAAGUCCUUCGGGUUGUAAAGUACUUUCAGCGGGGAGGCGUUACCCGCAGAAGAAGCACCGGCUAACUCCGUGCCAGCAGCCGCGGUAAUAC